UUUUGAAUUUCCCGGGGUACGAUAGCCCCAAAAGUACGCAAACACCAAG
rnacentral:sRNA from 1 species